AACGCACAUUGCGCCCUCUGGUAUUCCGGGGGGCAUGCCUGUUCGAGCGUCAUUACAACCCUCAAGCUCUGCUUGGUAUUGGGUGUCACCGCUAUGGUGCACCCUAAAAUCAGUGGCGGUGUCACCUGGCUCCUAGCGUAGUAAUACUUCUCACUAUAGAGCUUAGGUGUAUGCUUGCCAUAACCCCCAACUUCAAAGGUUGACCUCGGAUCAGGUAGGGAUACCCGCUGAACUUAA
rnacentral:misc_RNA from 1 species